rnacentral:tRNA from 1 species
GUCACGAUGGCCGAGCGGUUAAGGCGUUGGACUUGAAAUCCAAUGGGGUUUCCCCGCGCAGGUUCAAAUCCUGCUCGUGACG